AACGGCCGCGGUAUCCUAACCGUGCAAAGGUAGCGCAAUCACUUGUCUUUUAAAUAGAGACCCGUAUGAACGGCUAAAUAAGAACAAACCUGUCUCCUGUAAUUAGUCAAUGAAACUGAUCCCCCAGUACAAAAGCUGGCAUAAACCCAUAAGACGAGAAGACCCCGUGGAGCUUUAAACAUAAAACUAACGGCCCUGCCCACUCAUAGUAAAUACUUUUAAGUUGGGGCGACUACGGGGCAAAACAAAACCCCCACGAACCAGGGACCUUUGUCCCCCCAAAGGCCCACAAGCCAACACCAAAAAACUGACCCAGCACCCUACUGAUCAUCGAACCAAGUUACCCCGGGGAUAACAGCGCCAUCCUCUUCAAGAGUCCCUAUCGCCAAGAGGGCUUACGACCUC
rnacentral:rRNA from 1 species